GGCUAACGCUGGCGGCGUGUCUUAGCCAUGCAAGUCGAGCGGACUUAUGGGGUAACUUAUAAGUCAGCGGCGGACGGCGGAGUAACACGUAGCUAACCUACCCUCUGGACGGGGAUAACCUACCGAAAGGUGGGCUAAUACCCGAUGUAGUCAUCCUGUAUAGGGGUGAUGAAAGGUGGGCUUCUGUUUACAAGCUCAUGCUGGAGGAGGGGGCUGCGGCCUAUCAGGUAGUUGGUAGGGUAAUAGCCUACCAAGCCGAUGACGGGUAGCCGGCCUGAGAGGGUGACCGGCCCGAGGGGCACUGAGAUACGGGUCCCACUCCUACGGGAGGCAGCAGGCUAGAAAUUUGGGCAAUGGGGGAAACCCUGACCCAGUGACGCCGCGUGCAGGAAGGAGCCCUUCGGGGUGUAAACUGCUGUCGUGUAGGGAGAAGGGUACUAAGGUGAACAAUCUUAGUACUUGACGGUACUACAGGAGGAAGCCCAGGCUAACCUCGUGCCCAGCAGCCGCGGUAAGAGUCACGUCG
rnacentral:rRNA from 1 species